GGCCGUCUCUUUCCACUUCCGUCCGCUUCUCCCGACCAAGCAUGGCGACGGACCAGCCGGCACGGCGAUGGCUCGUCGCAGCAGCUGCCUUCACUCCCCUCCGAAUCCCUCCCACGCCUGACCUCUCCGGCUCUUCCUUCAUUCCUCGCGCGGCCCUUCGUCGCCGCCGAGUCCGUCGCGGCCAGGCCCGACACGGGCUCUCUCCGCCGCUCACGAGUGACGCGGCCAUCGCGGCCUAGCCCGACCUGGGGCUCCCUUCGCCGCCCACGAGCCCGUCGCGGCCAUGCCCGACGCGGGGCACCGGUCUGCUCCAUCCUCUCCCCUGCUCGCGAGCUCCCUGCCCGCCCCGCUCGCCCUCUCCGCUUCUGCUCUGUCGUCACUCCGUUGAUCCGCUCCUUGGCUCUGAAAUUCUACUGAAAAUUGCUGCUGAUUGCUCUCUGCUGCUGAAUAGCUAUCAGAUUUUUUUUCCUAUCGGCUGCUGAAUCUGUCAAAUGCCGCUUGGCAGUGGAUCUUUUUGCUGAAAUCUUGUUUAGAAGAUGUUUUUUUGACGAACCUAGCAGUUGUGCUGCCUUUUCAAAUAGAAGGAGAACAAGAAACAAAUUCACCCAGUACAAACUACAGAGAUUGAGAAAAAGCUCCAGGGAAAAAUAUCAACUUGACCAGCAAGUUGACAACACAAACACUCAGACUACCACUCUAUAGAAGAUGUUGAACUGAUUGGAAAUGAGAGAGUUGCGUUCAGAUUCAGAGGGGUAAGGGCAUGCAUAUCUUCUUGUGUGGGUGUUAGUCUCAGUUAGUGCCGGAUGGUAUUUUGGCAUAAAAAACCAAAACUACAAUGAUAUUGUGGCAAGUUCAGUUUUUCGAGUGCUAUUUUGGAACUCUCGGUUUUGACUAAUGGUAUUAUGGUUAUUCAUACAUUUCAUUUUCUGCAAUUCCAGUAAAGUGUUGCGGCCGAAUGCUUCCACCUCUCUUACUUAGCAUGCCUCAUUUUCAGCUACCGUAAGCAGAAAUUUCUCAAGUUCUUCAGCAAGAAUGGAAGACAGUGAGAAAACCACCUUCAAUUUAUCUUUCCCUCGCUUCAUCCUAAUUCAUGUUUCUGACACAUUCUGAUGGUCAGUUUUGACACCAUCUAUUCACGGGCAACCAUUAUGACAUCAUCUACCGGCGUCCGUAUCAGAGUUAAAGCCAAUGGAUCCCCAUGAAUGCAGACAGCAGAUUUUGCUAGGUUAAUGUUGAGUUGGGCUCUGCUGCCUACGGAUGUAAACGUUGCAGAGUUAGGUGGUAGAGAAUUAGGCAUACACUGAUGAAGCAGGUAGGUCUGUAUACUUGUACAAACCCAUUACUCGGUGGCCUGGUGCCAAUGGAUUGAUCAAUAGUUGCCCCCUUGUCUGAAAAGUGCGACAAUGUCGAGUGCUAUCGUUGUUUGAAAUGCUGUCUGAUUCUCUAGUGAUCAUAUUCAUGUGUGCUGAACUUUUGUUGACACUUUACGCAGAGUGCAGGUGCCAAUUGAUUGGUUGAUCAGUUGGCAUACAAGGAGUCAAGGAUGAAAACAUUCGAUGUUUAGUUUCUGUGAUUGGACAUUUCUGAUAAAAAUUAUACCGUCUAUUACUCAAUGAUAUCGUUUCACUUACACGAGCAGAUUUUUUUUUUGCAGAAAUCAAUGUCUAGAAGAAGAAAAAUAAAUGAAACAAGGGUAUCAUCCAUCCAUCAGCUUAGCACAUGCACGCGCAGGCCUCCUUGAUCGAUCAGCGGAUUGGCUUGAGGCAACUCAAGCAGUGCGUCGAUGUGCUUGCCCUCGUUCAUGGCGACGAACAACUUGUCCACCUCCUCGCCGGGCGACCGCCGGUCAAGUGCCGCAGGUCGAUGGCGACCAGGAACGACGAGGACAUAAGCUUCAGUAUGUCGAUGGCCUCGGCGGGUCUUCCUCGCCGAGAGGAGGCCGAGGGAGUUCACGUCCUGGUUGUGCUGCUCCGCGCUCUGGACAUGGUAGGUGACCGGGUUCCCCAGGAACUACUGGAGCUCCGAGAAGUAGGACGCCAUGGCGAUCUCGGCGCCCUUGAAGCCGUAGUCCAGGCUCGGGUUGCGCCCGCCGGAGGGGUUGGACGGCAGGCCGUUGCUGUAGCAGUCGUUCACCACCUCCGAGAACUGCGCGAACAUGAGCUAAUUGCCGAUCGCCGCGACGCCGAGCCUCGUGUUGUCCAUGGACACGCCGAUGGGGCUUGUGCCCUGGAAGUUGCCGCCGUGGACCGCCUUGCCGCGGGAAACGUCGUUGAUCGCGCGCUCGAUGGACUUUGUGGCGGCGCGGAUCCGAUGACCUCGAUCUGCCGGCCGAGCCAGAGCCGGACAGCCGUGAUGAUGCCCCGAUGUAGGAGAGAGGGACGAGAUCGCCGGACGCCGUGAUGAUGCCCCGGAGGCCGGAGCGGCAGGCAGAGAGUCACGUUAGCGUUGAGCAGCGCAGCGAUCGUCUCCAAGUGGAUGCCGGACAGCCGGAGUAGCCCUGGUCCCCUGGCGCAGCGUGUUGACCGCCCGCGUCGUGGACACGGGAAGCACGUGGCCGUCUCUGCCGGUGCCGAAUGCUCCGGCGUUGAGGAACCGGAUGAGCUCGUAUGCCAGCAUUUAUGGAUUGAUGCAUUUAGAUAGCAGAGCAGAUCACGUCCGUCUGUACAUUUUUUUCAUAUUAAUAUAUUUGCAGUAGUCAUUUUGCCUUA